AAAAAAUUAAAACCAAACUAUAGUUUUUGUUACAAUAUCUUAAGAAAAUUAUUGGUAAAUAUUUUAUGUAACCUGAUUUGUGUUAAUAAACCAGCGAAAAUUAUGUGUCCGAAGAAAAACUGGCGAAUCAUGCGAAAGUUCGAACUAAAUAAUUGAGAAUUGCCCAUAUACAAGAAAUAAUUUCAAUAUAAUUAUAAUUGAAUUUUUAUUAAAUGCUUUCACAUUUGUAUACAUUAAGCAAAUUUGCAUAACGCAGUAAAUAGUAAUCAUAAAACGAACGGAAAUCUUUGUGUAUAUAUUGCUUUAACGUUUGAAGUCUGUUGUAUUAGCUCCGUUUCGUAUUGAUGUAAUAACAGAGCUCGUUUUUGUGGCAAUGAUGUCCAGCAGUCGGUAUGACGCAACUUGAAUUUGACUUCACCAUUUACAUAAAGCAAUUCUCUGAUACUGCUUACUGGUGCUUCCCCAGGUUUUUUACGUGGCCUUAUAGUUGUAAAUUAAACCAAAAAUUUUUA